UGCGUAGGCGGAAAAUUAAGUCAGUGGUGAAAUCCUGCAGCUUAACUGUAGAACUGUCAUUGAUACUGAUUUUCUUGAAUUUAGUUGAGGUAGGCGGAAUGUGUAAUGUAGCGGUGAAAUGCUUAGAUAUUACACAGAACACCGAUUGCGAAGGCAGCUUACUAAACUAUGAUUGACGCUGAGGUACGAAAGCGUGGGGAGCGAACAGGAUUAGAUACCCUGGUAGUCC
rnacentral:rRNA from 1 species